UACGUAGGGUGCAAGCGUUUGUCCGGAAUUACUGGGCGUAAAGCGUGCGUAGACGGUUACAUAAGUCGGGUGUGAAAGCCCCGGGCUCAACCUGGGAAUUGCAUUCGAGACUGCGUAGCUAGGGUGCGGAAGAGGGAAGCGGAAUUUCCGGUGUAGCGGUGAAAUGCGUAGAUAUCGGAAGAACACCAGUGGCGAAAGCGGAGCUUCCUGG
rnacentral:rRNA from 1 species